GCUUGAAAAUUAAGAUUGGGGGUAAAUUUUUGUGAAAUCUAAAAAUUGGGAAUUUUUUUGCCUCACUCUCGUCUCUUUGGUCACUCAGCGUCUCUUGCUCACAGGUAGAGAGAGAGAGACAAACAAUAUUCUUGUAGUGAUUCUCUUCUCUCUCAAGAAGUCCGGUUUUUGUCGUCCUUCUUACAGAUCCAAUUCCACCAUCUCUCUCUCCGUAAGACCCAUAAUUUGACAUCUCAUCACCGUUCAGUCUCUACCGCUGAACCAAUCGAAGAAGAUAUGGCAAGGGACGUUUCGCUAGGGAUCUCCUUCGUCAUGUCAUCUUCAUCUGCGUGGCUCCAUCACCGUCCUUGGCCUGUCGUUGUUUCCACAUCUUAGUCGGUGAGUUUGUUCCUAAUUUUUAGGGUUCACCGAUUUGUGUUUGUCAUUCAUAUAUUAUUAUGAUUUUGUUAAUUCUUCGUGUUGGGAUUUCCUAAUUUAAUUUAAGGAUGGUUUUGGAUAAUCCUUUUCGGCGGAGCGUUGGUUGAUCUGAGGCUUUUCGAUGGUGGAAGGGAGGAACGGUAUGGUGAGUUGAACAUCAGAUCGUGAAGAUGAUUGCAUAUAUAGUUGAGGUGAAGUCAGAUUCGAGAUUUCAAUGUUAGCAAAGAAGAAACUAGGUGUCAAAUACUGGAUUGGUUUUCAGAGGAAGAGGUUGUGGACUGGUGGGAGAAGAGACUAGGUGUCAGAUACGGCAGCUUGGCCUAAUGAUAAAAUUCUUUUUAUCCGAUCUGAACUUGUGGUGUUCUUCUCUCUUGUAUGUGUUAGUGUAGAUUUUCUUUAGCCUCUCGUAUAUUCAGCUCUUUAAUUUCUGAUGUGUUCAUAAGGUUUUUGUGGCAUUAGGUGGUUUAAAGGAGUUAUUUGACCUUAUCUUUUAUUUAUGUAUUUUUACUUUGUAA